rnacentral:rRNA from 1 species
AGAGUUUGAUCAUGGCUCAGGAUGAACGCUGGCGGCGUGCUUAACACAUGCAAGUCGAACGAACCUUCGGGUUAGUGGCGGACGGGUGAGUAACGCGUGAGAAUCUGCCCUCAGGAGGGGGAUAACGGUUGGAAACGACCGCUAAUACCCCAUAUGCCUACUGGUGAAAUGAAUUUCGCCUGAGGAUGAGCUCGCGUCUGAUUAGCUAGUUGGUGAGGUAAUGGCUCACCAAGGCUUCGAUCAGUAGCUGGUCUGAGAGGAUGAUCAGCCACACUGGGACUGAGACACGGCCCAGACUCCUACGGGAGGCAGCAGUGGGGAAUUUUCCGCAAUGGGCGAAAGCCUGACGGAGCAACGCCGCGUGAGGGACGAAGGCCUCUGGGCUGUAAACCUCUUUUCUCAAGGAAGAAGAUAUGACGGUACUUGAGGAAUAAGCCACGGCUAAUUCCGUGCCAGCAGCCGCGGUAAUACGGGAGUGGCAAGCGUUAUCCGGAAUUAUUGGGCGUAAAGCGUCCGCAGGCGGCUUUUCAAGUCUGCUGUUAAAGCGUGGAGCUUAACUCCAUCAUGGCAGUGGAAACUGAAAGGCUUGAGUAUGGUAGGGGCAGAGGGAAUUCCCGGUGUAGCGGUGAAAUGCGUAGAUAUCGGGAAGAACACCAGUGGCGAAGGCGCUCUGCUGGGCCAUUACUGACGCUCAUGGACGAAAGCCAGGGGAGCGAAAGGGAUUAGAUACCCCUGUAGUCCUGGCCGUAAACGAUGAACACUANGUGUCGGGGGAAUCGACCCCUUCNGUGUCGUAGCUAACGCGUUAAGUGUUCCGCCUGGGGAGUACGCACGCAAGUGUGAAACUCAAAGGAAUUGACGGGGGCC